rnacentral:tRNA from 1 species
GGCUCCUUGGUUUAGUGGUAUAAUUCUCGCUUUGGGUGCGAGAGGUUCCGGGUUCGAUUCCCGGAGGAGCCC